GACGAACGCUGGCGGCGUGCUUAACACAUGCAAGUCGAACGGUGAAGCGAGUGCUUGCACUCGUGGAUCAGUGGCGAACGGGUGAGUAACACGUGAGUAACCCGCCCAUCACUCUGGGAUAAGCACUGGAAACGGUGUCUAAUACUGGAUACGACCAACCCUUGCAUGGGGUGUUGGUGGAAAGAUUUAUCGGUGAUGGAUGGACUCGCGGCCUAUCAGCUUGUUGGCGGGGUAAUGGCCCACCAAGGCGACGACGGGUAGCCGGCCUGAGAGGGUGACCGGCCACACUGGGACUGAGACACGGCCCAGACUCCUACGGGAGGCAGCAGUGGGGAAUAUUGCACAAUGGGCGAAAGCCUGAUGCAGCGACGCCGCGUGAGGGAUGACGGCCUUCGGGUUGUAAACCUCCUUCAGCAGGGAAGAAGCGAAAGUGACGGUACCUGCAGAAGAAGCACCGGCUAACUACGUG
rnacentral:rRNA from 1 species